UACCCCUGAUUUGUAUCUCAGGGACAAAUCUGGCUUAUUAGCACCGUUAUUUGUAAACUGCUAACCUGGCUCCCUGUGCUGUUGUAAUGCUAUCUUGAUGGGUUGCUGUGAAAAUGUGAAGUUGUCUGUCAGGCAGGAAAAAUUAUGUAAAAAUGAUGUGGGUAUAGAAAAUGGGAUCGACAAAAUGUAAUAAACUCCUCCUGGGCUGAAGAGCAGAGCUGCAUAUGUAAUGAAGUACUUUAGGAUUACGUCACCUUUUAUAUAACAUCUGGCAGUGACUUUUAUUUCAGAGCUAAUUUGAAGAAGCCAGGCGCUUUUCUUUUCCUUUCCCCAAGACUGCCUUUAUCUGAAAAGAAGAAAGAAAGAACUGUUACAUUUUGCAUGCAAAGAAAGCCAGAGUGUCUAGAUUACUCCCUUAAGGUAAUGGAGAAAAGAAAAAGAAAUUGAAAAAGGUCAGGUGAACACGGCAGAAGGAAUGAAGAGGUUUGUGUGAUUCUUAGUGAAAUUGGACCAGUCUAAGCAACCAGACAGGCCUGGAGUGAGGGGACGUUUGAAUUCUCUUCAGUCAGAAAGACCCACUACACUGGGAGAUCUCCCAAGAAGAUCCCCUUCGGGCUGAUAGACUGUCUUUUCACUGCAUCAAAUCUGGCCUUUUAGAGCUAAUCAGAAGGAGCUUCAGUCCUGGUAAUGGUAGCAAAACAGUCAGCCAAAGGUCUAAAGAGAAAAACUAAUCAAGAGGAAAGAAGAAAAACCACGAGAAGUGAUACUGCGUUCACUUGGGGAUUAUUUGUGAUGAGAUUGAAUAUAAAUGUAAGAAUCCCGGAAAUGUCAAAAGAAGGCCUUGGAUAAAGCACUCAAAGCCCUGUUUAUCUGUGGGAAAAAGAUUUGUAUUUAGUAGUGGCCUAGUUUUUAAUUUUUCCCGCUCCUCAUAAGGUUUUUGUCCCCUGCACAUAAGGGUUUAAUGCAACUGGUUUUGAAAUAUUUCCCAUUUUGAAUUUGGAAGGCUUAUACUUCAGACCCAGGCUUUUCCUCUCUGUUCUUCCUUUCCAAGAGAUGUCAUUGUACUUCUGCCCAAACACUGCACUAUCCAGAAAAGAAGUGUGUGUCCACGUGUGCCUGUGUAAGACCACUCUUACCAAACUUUAGAGUAGAAUGUACUGCGCGCGUGCGCGCACGCACGCGCACACACACACACACACAC